rnacentral:pre_miRNA from 1 species
AUGAUACUACCUCUGUCUCAAAAUUCUUGUCUUAGAUGUGUCUAAAUACGGAUGUAUCAAGUCUAGAUACAUUCGUAUUUAGACAAAUUUAAGACAAGAAUUUUAUGACGGAGGGAGUACGUA